UUCAAAUACACAUUGAAACAAACAGCGUCAACCUUCCGAGUUGCGAUCAGCUAUAAAAGACAGUUUCAAGAUAACGUGUGCUCAGUAUAGUCGAAACUCGUAAAUAAAAUAAGUGAAAAUGCAGAAUCGGUUGAUCGUUUUGGCUGUCGUGUUUUUCGUGUUCAAGAUCUCAUCUUGCUUCACCGAAACGGUUAAAGAACCUGUGAUGGUUUGUCUUGGGUGCCCUGGAUGUCCCGGUUGCCCAGAACCAAUUAAUUCACUUUGUCAACCACCUUUGUGCUUAAACCAGAAGCGAAUAUGCCUACACGGAACGUACACGCCACUUGAUAGCAGAGGAUGUCCCCUCUGUCCUAGAUGUAAACCCAUACCUAAGAGACCUAUGCCUGUUUGUCUUGGAUGCCCUGGAUGUCCUGGAUGUCCCAGAGGUAUUGACGACAUUAUUGUCGAUCCUAGAGAACCUGUUGCGCAUUGUCUUGGGUGCCCUGGAUGUCCAGGAUGUCCUCCAGAUAACUUUGCAAUAGCUGCCGGUGGCUCUGAUGCCACACAGAGUUGAUCGUCC